rnacentral:ncRNA from 1 species
AUCAGAGGCGCACGGCUCAGGAGUACCGAAGCGGAGGAACGAUCCUUCCCAUGAGGCUUCGGAAAAGGGUGUCGUGCCGAAAGGACUGCGAGGCAUCGGCGCAGCCGCUUGGGUGCAGGCCAAACAGGUCUGCAACUGUCAUCGGGUCGGUGACCCGGCGGAGCGCUG